GAUGAACGCUGGCGGCGUGCCUAACACAUGCAAGUCGAACGGGGAUAUAUUGGAAUGAGGAUUCGUCUGAAGGAAAAUGUAUCUUAGUGGCGGACGGGUGAGUAACGCGUGGGCAACCUACCGUAUACAGGGGGAUAACACUUAGAAAUAGGUGCUAAUACCGCAUAAGCGCACAGCAGUGCAUACUGGAGUGUGAAAAGCCGAGACGGUAUACGAUGGGCCCGCGUCUGAUUAGCCAGUUGGCAGGGUAACGGCCUACCAAAGCGACGAUCAGUAGCCGGCCUGAGAGGGCGGACGGCCACAUUGGGACUGAGACACGGCCCAGACUCCUACGGGAGGCAGCAGUGGGGAAUAUUGCACAAUGGGGGAAACCCUGAUGCAGCAACGCCGCGUGAAGGAAGACGGUUUUCGGAUUGUAAACUUCUUUUCUUAGUGAAGAAGAAAGUGACGGUAGCUAAGGAAUAAGCAUCGGCUAACUACGUGCCAGCAGCCGCGGUAAUACGUAGGAUGCGAGCGUUAUCCGGAAUUACUGGGUGUAAAGGGAGCGCAGGCGGGACUGCAAGUUGGAUGUGAAAUGCCGCAGCUUAACUGCGGAGCUGCAUCCAAAACUGUAGUUCUUGAGUGGAGUAGAGGCAAGCGGAAUUCCGAGUGUAGCGGUGAAAUGCGUAGAUAUUCGGAGGAACACCAGUGGCGAAGGCGGCUUGCUGGGCUCUAACUGACGCUGAGGCUCGAAAGUGUGGGGAGCAAACAGGAUUAGAUACCCUGGUAGUCCACACUGUAAACGAUGAUAGCUAGGUGUGGGGGGUCUGACCCCUUCCGUGCCGGAGUUAACGCAAUAAGCUAUCCACCUGGGGAGUACGGCCGCAAGGUUGAAACUCAAAGGAAUUGACGGGGGCCCGCACAAGCAGUGGAGUAUGUGGUUUAAUUCGAAGCAACGCGAAGAACCUUACCAGGUCUUGACAUCGUGUGCAUAGCCUAGAGAUAGGUGAAGUCCUUCGGGACACACAGACAGGUGGUGCAUGGUUGUCGUCAGCUCGUGUCGUGAGAUGUUGGGUUAAGUCCCGCAACGAGCGCAACCCUUGUAUUUAGUUGCUACGCAAGAGCACUCUAGAUAGACUGCCGUUGACAAAACGGAGGAAGGUGGGGAUGACGUCAAAUCAUCAUGCCCCUUACGACCUGGGCCACACACGUACUACAAUGGCGCACAACAGAGGGAAGCAAGACAGCGAUGUGGAGCAAACCCCUAAAAUGCGUCCCAGUUCAGAUUGCAGGCUGCAACCCGCCUGCAUGAAGUCGGAAUUGCUAGUAAUGGCAGGUCAGAAUACUGCCGUGAAUACGUUCCCGGGCCUUGUACACACCGCCCGUCACACCAUGAGAGUUGGGAAUACCCGAAGCCUGUGAGCUAACCGAAAGGGAGCAGCAGUCGAAGGUAGAAUCAAUGAUUGGGGUG
rnacentral:rRNA from 1 species